UUACCCGGUGAUGCAUCAAAUUUAAACCAUGCUAAUUCUGAUCAAUCCGUGAUCGAUAAUCUUUCGAUUCAUUAGCUGAGGGUUCC